AAUGAACGUUGGCGGCGUGGAUUAGGCAUGCAAGUCGCGCGACAAGGAACCUUCGGGUUCUGGAGGAGCGGCAAACGGGGUAGUAAGGCAUCGGAACGUACCCUCUUGUUGGGAAUAGCCGCGGGAAACUGCGAGUAAUGCCCAAUAAUCCCUACGGGGCAAAGGUCCGCCGCAGGAGGAGCGGCCGAUGUGAUACCAGCUAGUUGGUGAGGUAAUGGCUCACCAAGGCUUAGACGUCUAGGGGGUGUGAGAGCAUGGCCCCCACCGCUGGGACGUGAGAUACUGCCCACGACACCUACGGGUGGCUGCAGUCGAGAAUCUUCGGUCGAAUGGGCGGCAAGACCUCGACCGACGCAACGACC
rnacentral:rRNA from 1 species